AAUAUUGGACAAUGGGCGAGAAGCCUGAUCCAGCAACGCCGCGUGAGUGAUGAAGGCCUUCGGGUUGUAAAGCUCUUUUAUUCGGGAAGAAAAUGAAAGUAUCGGGAGAAUAAGAUCCGGCUAACUCCGUGCCAGCAGCCGCGGUAAUACGGA
rnacentral:rRNA from 1 species